AACGUAGACAUGGCCGGCGCUGGUCAAAGUGUAAUGUCUGUUCUUAUCAGCUUAACUGAUAUGGUUUGUACUAGGACCUAGGAUAUUAAACUUAUUUUUUGAAAAUUGGUGGAGUGGUUAAACGCCUGCUUGACCUCCACCACGGGUCGACCUGGUAUUGCACUAUCUUCGGGAUCGGCCGACGGUAU